GGAUGCCAAACAUCCAGAUCACAAGAACAAACACAUACUAGAAAAUUCAUGGAAAAGUAUUUCCGAGCAGUUUGAAAACAAUACAAGGAUGGAUAUAAGAAACAAAUGGAGAAAUAUUCGUGAUACCUAUUUCAAAAAGAAAAAAAGUGUUAAAGACGCAAUGAAAAGUGGUGCUGGUUCGGAUGCGGUUUUGAAGCUGCAGAACUGGAGAUGGUUUAGCGCCUAUUGAGUUGGCUUGAUGAUAGCCUGCGACAUGAAGCGUAAGCGGUUUAAUAACAUUCUUUCAAUCUUUAUAUGUUUAUUCUAUUACAUUUCAGAACUGAAAGCAACUUUAUAGUUGCAACUUUUGAUCCAAAAGACAUUGGUUGCGAAGAUGGAGUACAAAGGCUGGAUUCUGACAGCUAUGAACUGAACUUAAACUUCUGUAAGUGAGUCGAUAAACCUGAAUGAUAGUUGUCAGUCUACCAGUAACAAGACAGUUGGAUUAUGUACUACGGAAUCGGAAGUGGAACCAAUACUUAGUCCAAAACGACGGUAUUGGAGAAAGAGAUUUUCACCCAAAAAGAAAAUAAGAACUGAUACUUCAUUGCAGGAAGUUAUGAUGCAAUCCGAUAACAGCUUACUGAUGAAGAAUGUUAUUCAACCUCCAAGUUUAUGUGAAAAUUUUGGCACGGUUAUUGGCCAAAGAUUG